rnacentral:rRNA from 1 species
AAAUAGUAGAGACUCGAGACCGUACCUGACCGGCGNGAUCUUUAAGACUGAGCCUCUAAAACUCUCAGAUAUCUGAACUGUGAGGACGGGCCAGUGUAUUACCCUUAUCCUGGCUGGGUAAUAUAUGCAGCUACUGCAGUGUUUACCUACAUAAUGUCUUCGGACCAUAGGUGUCAUUCCUCCUGGCGAGGGGCCUGCGUCCUAUUAGCUUGUUGGUGGGGAAACGGCCUACCAAGGCAACGAUGGGUGGCGGGUGUGAGAGCAUGACCCGCGUCAUUGGGACUGAGACACUGCCCAGACACCUACGGGUGGGUGCGGUCGAGAAUCUUCGGCAAUGGGCGAAAGCCUGACCGAGCGACGCCGCGUGCGGGAUGAAGGCCCUCGGAUUGUAAACCGCUGUCGUAAAGCAAGGAGGUGCAGGGGGGGUUCUCCCCUUUGCUUGACCUAUUCUAGGAGGAAGUACGGGCUAAGUUCGUGCCAGCUGCCCGCGGUAGACGAAACCGUACAAACGUACCUCGAAAUUACUGGGGAUUAAAGGAUGCAUAGGCUGCCCGAAAAAUUGAGUUGCAAAACCCUCGGGCUAACCGAGGGAAUUGCAUCCAACAUUACCGUGCUCGAGGGGGGAAUAAGGUAAGCGGAACUACGGGGGGAGAGGAGAAAUCGUUGAAUUUUUGAGGGAACCCCGGUGG